GAAUGCUGACAUAAGUAACGAUAAAGCGGGUGAAAAGCCCGCUCGCCGGAAGACCAAGGGUUCCUGUCCAACGUUAAUCGGGGCAGGGUGAGUCGACCCCUAAGGCGAGGCCGAAAGGCGUAGUCGAUGGGAAACGGGUUAAUAUUCCCGUACUUGGUGUUACUGCGAAGGGGGGACGGAGAAGGCUAUGUUGGCCGGGCGACGGUUGUCCCGGUUUAAGCGUGUAGGUGUGUGUUCCAGGUAAAUCCGGUUCACUUUAACACUGAGGCGUGAUGACGAGGCACUACGGUGCUGAAGCAACAAAUGCCCUGCUUCCAGGAAAAGCCUCUAAGCAUCAGGUAACAUCAAAUCGUACCCCAAACCGACACAGGUGGUCAGGUAGAGAAUACCAAGGCGCUUGAGAGAACUCGGGUGAAGGAACUAGGCAAAAUGGUGCCGUAACUUCGGGAGAAGGCACGCUGACACGUAGGUGAAG
rnacentral:rRNA from 4 species